GACGAACGCUGGCGGCGUGCUUAACACAUGCAAGUCGAACGGAAAGGCCCUGCUUUUGUGGGGUGCUCGAGUGGCGAACGGGUGAGUAACACGUGAGUAACCUGCCCUUGACUUUGGGAUAACUUCAGGAAACUGGGGCUAAUACCGGAUAGGAGCUCCUGCUGCAUGGUGGGGGUUGGAACGUUUCGGCGGUUGGGGAUGGACUCGCGGCUUAUCAGCUUGUUGGUGGGGUAGUGGCUUACCAAGGCUUUGACGGGUAGCCGGCCUGAGAGGGUGACCGGCCACAUUGGGACUGAGAUACGGCCCAGACUCCUACGGGAGGCAGCAGUGGGGAAUAUUGCACAAUGGGCGGAAGCCUGAUGCAGCAACGCCGCGGGCGGGAUGACGGCCUUCGGGUUGUAAACCGCUUUCGCCUGUGACGAAGCGGGAGUGACGGUAAUGGGUAAAGAAGCACCGGCUAACUACGUG
rnacentral:rRNA from 1 species